UAGCACCGCCCGCUGCCACAUGUC
rnacentral:siRNA from 1 species